AUUGAACGCUGGCGGCAGGCCUAACACAUGCAAGUCGAACGGUAACACGAAGAGGCUUGCUUCUUUGCUGACGAGUGGCGGGCGUGUGAGUAAUGUCUGUGAAACUGCCUGAUGGCGGGGGAGAACUACUGGAAACGGUAGCGAAUACCGCAUAACGUCGCAAAACCAAAGAGGGGGACCUUCUGGCCUCUUGCCAUCGGAUGUGCCCAGAUGGGAUUAGCUAGUAGGUGGGGUAACGGCUCACCAAGGCGACGAUCCGUAGCUGGUCUGAGAGGAUGACCGGCCACACUGGAACUGAGACACGGUCCAGACUCCUACGGGAGGCAGCAGUGGGGAAUAUUGCACAAUGGGCGCAAGCCUGAUGCAGCCAUGCCGCGUGUGUGAAGAAGGCCUUCGGGUUGUAAAGUACUUUUAUCGGGGAAGAAGAGAGGAAGGUUAAUACCUUGCCGUAUUGACGUUACCCAAAGAAGAAGCACCGGCUAACUCCGUG
rnacentral:rRNA from 1 species